AUGGUCCAUACAUCCAAUAUGUAUCACGCUUCUAACAAACGACAGCAAAACACUAUAAUGGGAGAUAUAAAAAAUAUAAUCACUAACUUAGCAAACUGACAUCUGCAACAACAGAGGAUGUAAAAUUCCGAUCUUAAGUUACGAUGAGCUUGUAGUUUUGGAGAAUUUUUCCAAAACUCCUCAAGGAAAGGCUGCAGUACGAAAAAGAUUCGAGCGGGAGCAUUUCGCAACUUUAUAUGAUUUCUGCAGAAAUUAUACCGAACAAUUAUUCGCCAAAUCCAACUACACUACGUGGACCGGACACUCAGCACAUAACGCACAUACAUCCGUGCAACCACAAAAAGCUCUUGAUAUGUGUGUAGUUCAAAUCUUACUUGAUGUAGCCCAAGAGAAAUAUGCUUCAGAUAGGAAAACAGCAACGUCAACAUUUGCCCGCGCUUUAAAAAAUUUGAAUGAAACGGAGAAAGCGAGGAAGAAACGAAACGAAAGAACUGAAGACAUGGGUAUGUAGAGUCGUUAGCUGGGCGGAAGCAACACUGCUGUAAAAUUAGUACGAAGCGUUUAUUAUGAAAUAACGAGUCAGUUUGCUAUGUUACAUUUUACACCUCUUACCUUUCAGAUCGUAUAAAUAUUGGGAGUUUUCCUGCUUGCCGUACAGUCAAUCCGCCUACAGCAAAAACAACAGCAACAUGCCAUUCUAUGUAAUCAAUCCGUAUAUUUAUAUAUUACAUUUAUAUUUCCUGAUUAUACAUCAUAUUAUCAUGAUUUAACCUGUCCCAUAAUAUUCCGCCACGUCACUCGGUCAGUUGCUGCUUGUCUUCAACCUCUCAGGUUCCCGAUACUUGCCAGGUUCUGCUCCACUUGGUCCAGCUGCGCUCCUCUCCGUCUUGUACCUGCCGGGUUGGAGGUGAAAACCAACUUGGUGGGGUUGUUGUCCGGCAUCCUCACAACAUGCCCCGCUCACCGUACCCUUCCAGCUUGAGCUACUUUCCGGAUACUUGGCUCACCAUAGAGUCGCGCAAGUUCGUGAUUCAUCCUUCUCCUCCACACGCCAUCCUCCUGUACACCACCGAAGAUCGUUCUCAACACCCUUCUUUCGAAGAUUUCGAGUGCUUGCAGAUCCUUCUCGAGCAUUGUCCACGUUUCGUGCCCGUAGAGAACCACCGGUCUAAUCAGUGUGUUGUACAUGGCGUAUUUCGUGCGGUGGUGAAGCUUCCUGGAUCUCAAACCGUAUGCAUCAAUCCUCAAUUGUUUUUCCACCAACUAUUUUGCAUAAUUCAAAUCGUAAUAAUCUAAUAAAUCGACUGAUUUUCUUCUUUUAGAGUUUAAUAAAUGCUUUAAAUGAAUAAAUCGGUGGCAAAGCUGUAUACAAUUUUUCCUACGCAUACUACCAAGCGUUAAAUUCUUAUACAUGCUCAAAGAAAGUAACUUGAGCCUUAACUCACUCAAACUGUACUUACUCACUCAGACUGCACUUGCAAACUCAAGCACACUCACACACACUGUACUUGAUACUCAACCAUUACCUCACUCAAAUUGCAUUUAUUUGCUUAAAUACACUCACACAUAGACUGAACUUGACACCCACUCAUUGUUAUACUCAAGCCCUUGCAUACACAAAUAUAUUCACAUUCAUUUGAACACAGAUUGCACAUGAACAUUCAGACCCUCCUACAUGUAUACUGCACUUGCACACUCAUGUCGUUUUUCAUUGAAAACACUGGGGCGGUGGAUUGCACUGGUUUUGCACUUUCUAGCAGAAGUGGGAAUAAAACACGUCUAGUGGCCUGUUCUUCUGCUAGAAAAUGCAACCCCAGUGCAAUCCACCGCCCAUUAUACGGAAUGCUUCGAGGCAUCAGCUGCCAGGAUCCGGGCUGCUGCCAAUGCACAACAGUAGUAUGAAUAACUCUAGUGAUCGGGGCAGUUUGAAACCUGGCGACGGUAUUGGUCCGUUGCUAACUGUCCUUCUCGAAACCCACUUUGAUAUUCGCCGACAAAGCAUUCAGCCAACGGGCGCAGUCUACCCAACAGAACACGAGAAACUACCUUGUAGGCAGCAUUGAGGAUCAUUAUGCCUCGGAAGUUUACAGCCCCUCUCCAAGAUUGGGCAUAUGAGGCCAUUCAACCAAUCCGAAGGCAUUUUUUCUUCCACACAGAUCAUCCCAAUCACGCAGUGGAUUGCUUCGCACAGCCAGUCGCUCCUAAUUUUUAGAAGUUCACCCGGGAUUCCGCCCUUUCCAACGACCUUAUCGUUUUAAGCUUUCACAUAACCUCCCGUCUAGAAAUCACUGAACAAAAAGAAAUUGUUUACCCCUCGCUAAUCGCCGGGCCUUACUCAAAAAAAAAUCUUCGGUCGAACAAUGUUCGCUACCGCACGAAGCUAAACUUCUAUAGAACACUUAUUAGACCGUUUGUCUUAUCUACUAUGCUGGUACCGUACCCGCAAUUUAAUAGGAACUAAAACACCUCUCUAAUGGAAUUAAAAGAUUGAAAAUACAAUGUAUUCUUUUUGAGUUAGAGGCAUUAAAAGAAAAACAAAUAGUUCAUAGAAAAAUUCAAUAACUCCGUAACAGUUGAAAUUUGAUUAUUCGUGUAGAAUGUUUUUUUCUCCAAAUAUAAUCCUCAAUCACCCCUAGAGAGAUUCUUAACCAUGGACCAAACCACCUGUAUAUGUUGGGUUGGUUUAAUCCCAACAAAUUAAUCUGCAUACUCCCACUACUACCUUGCAAUAUGUAUAUAGUUUUGUUCUAUCGCAUCCAUCACCCCGAUCCCCAACCUUUUUAAUCGUCAAUAGUCGCCAAAAUGAAAUAAACUGAUUUUUAUCGUGAUUAAUGAAACUUGAACAAUUACUAAAAAAACUAUAGAAAUUUAUUGAGUAGGAAAUGCCGCCCCCUGAUUUUGCCGCUCGGGGCGGUUGCCCCCUUCGCCCUCCCCCCCUUAGCGCCGCCACUGCAUCCACCCAUAGGUACAACGAAGGAGUUUAUAUUAUAUAAAUUCAAAAUAGCGUCAAAAUCGUUAAAAUAUUUGUUGGCUGGCUUAAGUCACAUUCACAUACGAAAUAAUAUUGGUGUACAUACACAGUACUGAUCCUUCACUGUAAUUUAUCGGAUAUGUGCUUUAAGCUGCCACGAAAGCGAUUCAAAUGUACUACAGGGUUCAAUGCAAAUAAACUCCUUGUGUGAGAAUUAUGCUAUUCAAUAAUACCAUUGCAGCGAUAUCAACGCCGGAAUCAUCCUGAUGACCGUACAGUGCGUGGACAAGUUAGCCGAUUUUUAUAGCGCCACUAUCAAACUCCCUGUCAAUAGUUUUGUUGGAACACCUUACCUUACACCUUACUUCAGGCUACUGGGCAGAUGUUUUCCGCAGCUUUGUUGAUUUUUGCUUGAAGAAAUCUCCGGUGGAACGAUCACACACUAGUACUCUGUAAACUCAUUCAUUCAUGCAUAGGAUGCGAUCGCCAAAUGUGCUAAUUGAUUUGAUAACAAGGACUAAAGAUGUCGUUAGAGAAUUAGAUAAGCUGAACUAUAGGAAGAUGAAAAAAAAAUUAAUGUCGACUCUUGUGAAACGGAAGUAACGUCGGCGAUGCGGAGGGCACACUGGACGAGCGAAUCAGUGGCGGCAGUAGCAAAAGUAAUAGUAUCACCUCAGAACAUUCACUCCACUCGGUAGAUCAGCAUGGCGGAAUUAUACGGAAUGUUUAAUGCACCGGUUGCCAGGAUCUGGGCUGCUGUCAAUGCACAACAGCAGUACUGCCGCUAUAAGCAUGACUGUCCCAUGUGCUAUGGAAUUCCAUACACACAUGGGACAAUUAUGCGUAGAGCGGCAGAGUAUGAACAACUCUAGUGGCCGGACGGUUUGAUACCUGGUGAAGGUACUGGUAGGAUGGAUUUCGGAUUUGGUGGAGCCGGCGCGAAGGUAUGGCCAGUGGUGGAAGUUGUUCUGGUUCAGGGAGCAUCAGUGCCCAUGCUGUGGGUUACCAAAACUGCGGGUACCAAAACCAAUGUACCUCAUCACCAUUCACAUCAUAAUCACGUGUUUCAAGCGGCCGCCCAUGCUGUAGCCGAACACUGUGCCUAUAACUUUGCUACUAUUAGAACGACCAGUACUGUGACAAAGCAGCAAAAGGAACAUAUUCAAGUUUAUUUGACUAUCGUAUUAAAAAUGGUUGUGUUGAUUAACUUUUUUCUCUAUUGUCACUCGGUUCGAGCAGGAAGAAAUUCCUGAACUAAUGUCUGGUUACAAGCGGAUGCGCCGUGAGUAUCAAUCAGCGUUGGAGAAGCUACAGGAAAAAUGUAAGAUUGAGAUGGAGCAGCAUAGACAUGGUCUAGAUUUUUCAAUCCAGGCUAAACAUCAGUAAGAAUCGGAACGCGGAACGAAGCAAAAUAACGUUAUGGAAAAGAAAAUUUACAAAGAUAUAUCAACGCGACAGGAAGGAAACCGGAAAGCGUUCAAUUUGUAUAAAAAAGGAAUACAAAGGAACGCUGGAAGCGCGAACUGUCGACGGACGAGUCUUUUACCAAGCGGCAACGUGAUGGAUUCAAAAGAUAACAAAGUAAGCGGAGGCUUAAGAAGAGCAAGUAGUCACACUAGUGCACUGAAUGCUCGCUAGUCUGAGAAGCUAGCGAAAUCGUCUUAGAGCAUCAGUGGCUGCUCGUUCAGAGGGCCAUAUGCGCGACUUCCGGAGGGUUAACGUUACUGGGUGAUCCGUGUGAACAAAUCAUUGCCGAUAUGCUACAGAAGCAAAGCUUACGAUUCGAUGAAAGUCAGGAAGUCGAAUGCCAUCAGUUGAAGGACCGACUGCAGUACGAGCUGGACAUUCAUAGUGCUUACCAGAAUAAACACCGCAUGCAAGCACAAGCUCAGCGAAAUCGCAUUGUUCAUUAUUUCUUUUAUUUUUGUUCAGUGGCGGAUAUAAUUCUACGUAAGAACAUUGUAAAAAUAAUAAAUUUAGCAUAUAAGAAUAUUCUAAAAUUAUAAAAUAAGUAUAAAAUAUUGUAAACAAUAAAGUAUUCUAAAAGUG